CUGGGAUCUAAAAUUAACCAAAAUCUGCAACAGAGACCACUCACUUUUAAAUCCUACUCUAGGGACCAAGUUUCUCUAUUAAUUCUAACCACUUCACUAUUUGCACCAGGUUAUUCUAGCUUGAUUGGUAACCACCUUGAAAAUAUACCAGGCCGGGCGCAGUGGCUCACGCCUGUAAUCCCAGCUCUUUGGGAGGCCAAAGCGGGCAGAUCACGAUGUCAGGAGAUCGAGACCGUCCUGGCUAACAUGGUGAAACUCUGUCUCUACUAAAAAUACAAAAAAAUUAGCCUGGGCGGUGGCAGGCGCCUGUAGUCCCAGCUACUCGGGAGACUGAGGCAGGAGAAUGGCAUGAACCCGGGAGGUGGAGCUUGCAGUGAGCCAAGAUAGCGCCACUGCAGUCCCGCCUGGGCGACACAGAGAGACUCUGUCUCUCAUAAACCUUGGAAUCCAAAAUUGCUAGUCCUCAUUUUCAUUUUAUAAAACAUACAUUUUGAUCCUCAUAAAUUGAACAAUUUGCUGAAAAUUGCCGCUUUGGGAGGCCGAGGCGGGCGGAUCACGAGGUCAGGAGUUUCAGACCAGCCUGACCAACCUGGUGAAACCCCGUCUCUACUAAAAAUACAAAAAUUAGCUGGGCAUGGUGGCGGGCGCCUGUAAUCCCGCUACUCAGGAGGCUGAGGCAGGAGAAUUGUUUGAAACCGGGAGGCAGUGAUUGCAGUGAGCCGAGAUCGCACCACUGCCCUUGAGCUUGGGCAACCGAGCGAGACUUCAUCUCAAAAAAAAAAAAAACCUAAAAUUUUGUGAUCUAUCAAAUGAUCUCUAAUUUCACUGAAAUAGGAAGGGUCUAUCCUCUACACCACAUGUUUAAUACAGGUAUACUGAUGUGUGCCCUUGUCCAAGACAUGGUUCCUCAUGUAUAAAACUUUGAAGGCUUUCAUGGUAGUCCACUUUUGUGGUCAGGACUUCUUUCAGUAUGGACCUUCUGAUUAGUCUCUAGUUGGAGGUGCUAAUCCAUUAUUCCUUUUUGCUUCAGUCUCAUUAGAAGAGGGCACCAGACUGCUUUUCAAUGUAGAAGCAAGAGGCAGCAUAGGAAGGAAAGGGGGAGGCAACACUUUCUGAGAGCCUUGCUUCAUGUCAGAAGCUGCCACUACACAAAGCUCUAUUUUAUCAAUUUGGAAUGAAAUCUCAGAAAGAUCAAGUAUGUGUCAGAGAGCAAAUGAGAAAAUCAAAGCCCGUAUCAUCUGCUUCACGUCCCGCAUUUACUUAACGCUACCAGGCCUUCUUUUUCUUGAAGUGCUCUUUGAGCCUAUGUGGUUCCAGCAUGAGUCUCCUUGGGGGAUAUGUUAGGGGAUGCUGUCAGAACAACUACUUCUUGAGAAGUCCAAGGAACCGGCAGAAACCUUUACCAAAAAGAUGAUCAACUCAGAUACUGCUGCAGUGCAAAAGGACAGGCAAGGAGAAAGUAUUUUAAACACAGAAGGGAGUAAGGGAAACGGGAAGAAUACCACGUGCUUCUGCUAUGUCCUGUGUCACAGAAACAUCAGCAGCCACAACCAGACAGCCACACCCACCCCGGGAGCAAGAGCUGGGAAGAACCACAGCCCUGCGAGAGAAAUCUCACAGGCCAAUGGACCAAAAAGGGACAUGCAGUUUAAUAUUUUUCCUGCAAAAUGCAAUUUUAAAUAAUGACAAUAGAUCUAUAGAGAGAUAUAAAAUGAAAAAUCAUUUAUACCAAAUCUUAUGCCUCUUAUUCACUCCUUAACUCAUAUACUAAAAAUUCUUCAGCAUGCAGGCUCUGUAACAGGCCAUGAGUGUGCGUUUUUAAAACAGAAAGCAAAGCAGCCUAGCACAUUAUAGAAACUGGGAACCAGCCAGUACCACUACUCUUCUCCAAUCUACUUAGCUUUCUCAAAUGAAUUUUAGGGGAAAAGCAUAUUUUAAGGAACAAAAAUAAGUGUUGUUGCAAAAACAUGGGGCAAGAAAUUCCCCGAAAAGAUCUACUACAUAAAACUGCCUUAGAUAUCACAGUUCAUGCCAAUCAAAAAUCUUACAAAUAACUAGAUGGGUAUGUGUAUCAUCAGUAUGCUCUAGCUGUGCUGGCUCAUAGCACACGUUCAUGAAUAAACACAUGAGUGAGUGAAUGAAUGAAUGAGUUAAAGCUUAAGGGAACUCCCCUGAGAUUUUCAAUAUUGUCAUUUUUCAGUCGUUAAGUUGACGUGGUAGCAUAGUGCUAGCUAGUGGUCAUAUAAACUGUUAUGAGUCAGUAGCAUUGUGUUAUCAUACUGAUCUAAUUGUCUUUACUCUGCUUUUUCUCCACACGUAUUUACUUAUGAAUGCCAAGAGGCAAGGAAAGCUUAAAGCUCAAGAAUUUAAAUACAGAUUCCCCUUUGGGAAUGACGGAGAUGAGCUUCUCCA
rnacentral:lncRNA from 1 species